rnacentral:rRNA from 1 species
UACGUAGGGGGCAAGCGUUGUCCGGAUUGACUGGGCGUAAAGCGCACGCAGGCGGACGCGCGCGUGGGGUGUGAAAUCUGGCCGCUUAACGGCCAGGCGCCAUCCCAUACGGCGGGUCUGGAGUGAUGCAGAGGGCGGUGGAAUUGCCGGUGUAGUGGUGAAAUGCGUAGAGAUCGGCAGGAACACCCAGGGGGAAACCAGCCGCCUGGGCAUCGACUGACGCUGAGGUGCGAGAGCGUGGGGAGCGAACCGG